rnacentral:rRNA from 1 species
GACGAACGCUGGCGGCGUGCUUAACACAUGCAAGUCGAACGCUGAAGACCUGGCUUUUGUUGGGUUGGAUGAGUGGCGAACGGGUGAGUAACACGUGAGUAACCUGCCCUCUUCUUUGGGAUAACGCCCGGAAACGGGUGCUAAUACUGGAUAUUCACUGAUCUUCGCAUGGGGGUUGGUGGAAAGGUUUGUUCUGGUGGGGGAUGGGCUCGCGGCCUAUCAGGUUGUUGGUGGGGUGAUGGCCUACCAAGGCUUUGACGGGUAGCAGGCCUGAGAGGGUGACCGGUCACAUUGGGACUGAGAUACGGCCCAGCGGCCUACGGGAGGCAGCAGUGGGGAAUAUUGCACAAUGGGCGAAAGCCUGAUGCAGCGACGCCGCGUGAGGGAUGGAGGCCUUCGGGGUGUAAACCUCGUUCGCUCAUGGUCAAGCCGCAACUGUGGGUUGUGGUGAGGGUAGUGGGUAAAGAAGCGCCGGCUAACUACGUG